rnacentral:rRNA from 1 species
UACGUAGGGUGCGAGCGUUAAUCGGAAUUACUGGGCGUAAAGCGUGCGCAGGCGGUCUGUUAAGACCAUGUGAAAUCCCCGGGCUUAACCUGGGAACUGCAUUGGUGACUGGCAGGCUUUGAGUGUGGCAGAGGGAGGUAGAAUUCCACGUGUAGCAGUGAAAUGCGUAGAGAUGUGGAGGAAUACCGAUGGCGAAGGCAGCCUCCUGGGCCAACACUGACGCUCAUGCACGAAAGCGUGGGGAGCAAACAGG